UCUCCUUGCUUCUUCCCGGUGUUCGUUAAUAUAACUAAGCCCUGGGGUAAACCAAAUUCACCUAAGCCCAAUAGAGCCCGAUAACACUAGCCCGGUGACCAUCCGACAGAUAUUGAACGCGUUCUCAUUCGGUGCUCAUCAGAGCACCGAGAGCUUAUCGGACAAAACGAUGAGUUUCAAUAAACUCGAGAUUUCGCACCGGACGUAUUCCUCCCCAAAUCGUUUCCGUUCAGAUCGCUCGCCCCAGGCUUCUUCCUCCCCAACUUGAAAAGCAUUCAGGGCGUUUGCACUAGACUUGCAACAGCACUAGCAAGACGGCAAAGAGCGUUCAGACCAGAGACUUGUAGUGGUAGCAUUGGCAAGACAGUAACCCUUCAUGAUUUGCGAAUUUUGAAGGUUGAAGAGUGGCAAAUGUGUUGUUCUUGGAAUCACCAGCUGGAGUGGGCUUUUCCUACUCAAACACUUUGUCUGAUUAUGAUCAAGCAGGAGAUAAGUUUACAGCAAGAGAUGCCUAUGUGUUCCUCAUCAAUUGGCUCGAGAGAUUUCCACAAUACAAAUCCAGAGAUUUCUUCAUCACUGGAGAGUGCUACGCUGGUCAUUAUGUGCCUCAACUUGCUUACACCAUUUUGGUCCAACAUAUUUUCCCUAGACAAACCAUUAUCAACCUUAAAGGCAUUACUAUAGGGAAUGCUUGGAUCGAUGAUGAAACAAGUUCAAAGGGAAUAUUUAAUUACUUAUGGACUCAUGCUCUAAUCUCAUAUGAAACCCAUUCAAGUAUUAAUAUAUAAGUCUUCCUGGUUCGCUUGACACCUCACUCAGAAAUGGUCCGCCUGGUUCUGUAAGUCUUCCUGUAGUUAUUUUGUUAGCAAUAUCUUCUCAAUCUGAUGAGACUGUCUUUUCAAUUAAUGUAUUGAUAAUUUCAGCUGUACAAUUAUGAUCCAUGCUCUGAUUACUAUGUGGAAGCCUAUAUGAAUAACCCAGA